rnacentral:rRNA from 1 species
AACGAACGCUGGCGGCGUGGAUAAGACAUGCAAGUCGAACGGGAUAACAUCUGUAGCAAUACAGGUGUUAUUUAGUGGCGAACGGGUGCGUAACACGUGGGCAAUCUGCCGAGAAGUGGGGGAUAGCUCGCCGAAAGGCGAAUUAAUACCGCAUAUGAUCAGGGAAGACAUCUUUCCGACAUCAAAGCCGGGGCAACCUGGCGCUUCUUGAGGAGCCCGCGGCCUAUCAGCUAGUUGGUGAGGUAACGGCUCACCAAGGCUAUGACGGGUAGCUGGUCUGAGAGGACGACCAGUCACACUGGAACUGAGACACGGUCCAGACACCUACGGGU